UCCUGCCUGCCGCCCAGAAGAUAGGUGACCCACAACACAGAAUAUGCCAAUGUCUUGCAAACGUUGUCGCAUGAACUCAAUUGUUAUCGGGUUUGAACGAGUUUGACCAUGUCUCUGUAUUGAUCAUCAAAAAGGAAGAAACACCGUCCUAGAAGAAACAAUCUCUCUUAUUCGAGUAGAAGAAAGCAUGUAAAGUCUUAUGCCUGACAAACAAAAGUUACCUAUCAUAAAGACUAGUGGAUUCAAUAAUGAAGAGAGAGAUGGAAGGUAUUUUUGGACUUGCUCAACAAGCCUUCAGGUAAGCCUUCCAUUCACCUUUUAUAUAAAUCCUUGAGAGAUAAGUGUGGUUCAGAAUUUGAUUAGAGACUCUGGUGCAACUGAUCACAUGACUCCUCAGUCACCAUAAUUUUUGAAAACACAUAAACCGGCCUGAGUAAUUGAAAAGUUAUAGUGGCAAAUGGGAUUAGUGCCACUAUGACAGGAAUAGAUGAUGUAUUCAUUUCUUGAAAUCUUACACUAAAACAAGUCCUUCAUGUCCCAAAAUUAUCUACCAGUCUCAUUUCAAUAUAAAAGCUUGGCCAUGAUUGCCAAGCUUGUGUUUUUUCUCCUCAUCAUGUUGUGUUUUUCAGGACUAGGCCUUGAGCCGGACGAUUGGACUUGCUGAGGAAUUGAAUGAAUCUAUAUUACUUGCAAUUACUCGAGAGAAAAACGAGUAUCUCAUUUGUGUACUUUCUUAGUUUAUUAAAUAAAAAUGCGAUUUGGUUA